rnacentral:rRNA from 1 species
CCCUUAGAUGUUCUGGGCCGCACGCGUGCUACACUGAGUAAAUCAAUGGGUAAGGGAACACGAAAGUGCAACCUAAUCUUGAAAUUUGCUCGUGAUGGGGAUCGACGGUUGCAAUUUUCCGUCGUGAACGAGGAAUACCUUGUAGGCGCGUGUCAUCAUCACGCGCCGAAUACGUCCCUGCCCUUUGUACACACCGCCCGUCGCUCCUACCGAUUGAAUGACUCGGUGAAAAAUUGGGACCGUGAGUCUGUUUGCUUCAUUGCGAGUGGAUUGAUGGGAACUUUUUUAAACCUCGCCAUUUAGAGGAAGGUGAAGUCGUAACA